rnacentral:tRNA from 1 species
GGGAGCAUGGGCCAGUCUGGUUAAGCUUUCAGGUUUGGGACCUGACGACCCCGGUUCAAAUCCGGGUGCUCCCA